AGGUUUUUGUGGAGACUCUGGAUAAGUGUUUUGAAAAUGUCUGUGAGUUGGACUUGAUCUUCCAUAUGGAUAAGGUGCACUACAUCCUCCAGGAGGUGGUGAUGGGUGGGAUGGUGUUGGAAACAAACAUGAAUGAGAUCGUGGCUCAAAUUGAAGCUCAAAACAGGCUGGAGAAGUCGGAGGGUGGCCUUUCAGCAGCCCCUGCAAGGGCCGUGUCCGCUGUGAAGAACAUCAACCUUCCCGAGAUCCCCAGGAACAUCAACAUCGGCGAUCUCAACAUCAAAGUUCCCAACCUGUCUCAGUUUGUGUGAAGGUGGAGGACUGGGCUGAACUGGAGUUCUUAGGAUGAGCAAAGCAAAGUCCAGAAGCAGAACCCUGUUGAGCCUUUAGAGUCGCAGCUUGGGACCCUGAGCCUUUCACAGAGUGGGAAGGGAGUUGAGUGCACACUGCCUGGCCAUCCUGCUGCUCUCUGAUACACGCGGCUGUGGUAGGCAUCAGGGCACUAAGCCACUGCUCUUUUGCCUCCCCCACACAGCUGCCCUCAGGGCCAGGGACUGGAACAAGCCACCUGCUUCCCAGGGCCCCACCGCUGGGACUGAACACAUCUGACUUCCUCUCUAGCACCAAGGGCCGCUGAGAUCCUGUAUCACUUACUGGGCAAGAGACUAGGGAGAAGGGCCAGCUGUUAGCUGUCAGGCAUGCAGGUGAGGGCAGGGCAGAUGCUGCUUCUGCCUCUGUGCCCUUUGUAUGGCCAAGCAUUGUGGUCCACAGUUGCCUCGGAGCAGUUUCCUCACUAGCAUGUUCCUAGUCUUGUGGUCAGAGGCAUCUGUAUGCUGGGGUUUAAGUCACACCCUGGGUGCAUGCCACCACUACACACACAAACACACACCGGGGUGGGGACCCCAGAACCCUCUCCAGAGGAGAGACUAGUGUCUGUGGAAUGUGAUGGCUGAAUCCUUCCCGGGUUAUGACUCUUUCCAAGUUUGAAAUACAGUUUUCCUGGAAGCAGAAGGUUCA
rnacentral:lncRNA from 1 species